GAUGAAGAACGUAGCAAAAUGCGAUAAGUAAUGUGAAUUGCAGAAUUCAGUGAAUCAUCGAAUCUUUGAACGCACAUUGCGCCCGCUGGUAUUCCGGCGGGCAUGCCUGUUCGAGCGUCAUUUCAACCCUCAAACCCCCGGGUUUGGUGUUGGGGAUCGGCUCUGCCUCACGGCGGUGCCGCCCCCGAAAUACAUUGGCGGUCUCGCUGCAGCCUCCAUUGCGUAGUAGCUAACUCCUCGCAACUGGAACGCGGCGCGGCCAUGCCGUAAAACCCCAACUUCUGAAUGUUGACCUCGGAUCAGGUAGGAAUACCCGCUGAACUUAAGCAUAUCAAUAAGCGGAGGA
rnacentral:misc_RNA from 1 species